rnacentral:piRNA from 1 species
UGUGAUAUGCCCAGCAUUCCUGCCAACUUUU